GACGAACGCUGGCGGCGUGCUUAACACAUGCAAGUCGAGCGGGGAGCUUCGGCUUCUAGCGGCGAACGGGUGAGUAACACGUGGGCAACCUGCCCCGAUCUCUGGAAUAACCUCGGGAAACCGGGGCUAAUGCCGGAUAUGACAUUGCCGGGCAUCUGGUGGUGUGGAAAGAUUUAUCGGAUCGGGAUGGGCCCGCGGCCUAUCAGCUUGUUGGUGGGGUGAUGGCCUACCAAGGCGACGACGGGUAGCCGGCCUGAGAGGGCGACCGGCCACACUGGGACUGAGACACGGCCCAGACUCCUACGGGAGGCAGCAGUGGGGAAUAUUGCGCAAUGGGCGAAAGCCUGACGCAGCGACGCCGCGUGGGGGAUGACGGCC
rnacentral:rRNA from 1 species